UCUGCGUGGAGCCGCCCUUGAAAUACCACCCUUUAAUGGCUGGUGUUCUAACGUAGACCCGUAAUCCGGGUUGCGGACAGUGUCUGGUGGGUAGUUUGACUGGGGCGGUCUCCUCCCAAAGAGUAACGGAGGAGCACGAAGGUUGGCUAAUCCUGGUCGGACAUCAGGAGGUUAGUGCAAUGGCAUAAGCCAGCUUGACUGCGAGCGUGACGGCGCGAGCAGGUGCGAAAGCAGGUCAUAGUGAUCCGGUGGUUCUGAAUGGAAGGGCCAUCGCUCAACGGAUAAAAGGUACUCCGGGGAUAACAGGCUGAUACCGCCCAAGAGUUCAUAUCGACGGCGGUGUUUGGCACCUCGAUGUCGGCUCAUCACAUCCUGGGGCUGAAGUAGGUCCCAAGGGUAUGGCUGUUCGCCAUUUAAAGUGGUACGCGAGCUGGGUUUAGAACGUCGUGAGACAGUUCGGUCCCUAUCUGCCGUGGGCGCUGGAGAAUUGAGGGGGGCUGCUCCUAGUACGAGAGGACCGGAGUGGACGCAUCACUGGUGUUCGGGUUGUCAUGCCAAUGGCACUGCCCGGUAGCUAAAUGCGGAAGAGAUAAGUGCUGAAAGCAUCUAAGCACGAAACUUGCCCCGAGAUGAGUUCUCCCUGAGACUUUAAGUCUCCUGAAGGAACGUUGAAGACGACGACGUUGAUAGGUCGGGUGUGUAAGCGCAGCGAUGCGUUGAGCUAACCGAUACUAAUGAACCGUGAGGCUUAACCUUACAA
rnacentral:rRNA from 1 species